CGUGUAGGCGGCUCAUCGAGUCUGGUGUGAAAAUGCAGGGCUUAACCCUGCAGAUGCGCUGGAAACUGGUGGGCUUGAGUUCUUGAGGGGAAGCUGGAAUUCCAGGUGUAGGGGUGAAAUCUGUAGAUAUCUGGAAGAACACCGGUGGCGAAGGCGAGCUUCUAUCAGAGGACUGACGCUGAGACGCGAAAGCGUGGGGAGCGAACA
rnacentral:rRNA from 1 species